GACGAACGCUGGCGGCGUGCUUAACACAUGCAAGUCGAACGGAAAGGCCCUGCUUUUGUGGGGUGCUCGAGUGGCGAACGGGUGAGUAACACGUGAGUAACCUGCCCUUGACUUUGGGAUAACUUCAGGAAACUGGGGCUAAUACCGGAUAGGAGCUCCUGCUGCAUGGUGGGGGUUGGAAAGUUUCGGCGGUUGGGGAUGGACUCGCGGCUUAUCAGCUUGUUGGUGGGGUAGUGGCUUACCAAGGCUUUGACGGGUAGCCGGCCUGAGAGGGUGACCGGCCACAUUGGGACUGAGAUACGGCCCAGACUCCUACGGGAGGCAGCAGUGGGGAAUAGUGCACAAUGGGCGGAAGCCUGAUGCAGCAACGCCGCGUGCGGGAUGACGACCUUCGGGUUGUAAACCGCUUUCGCCUGUGACGAAGCGUGAGUGACGGUAAUGGGUAAAGAAGCACCGGCUAACUACGUG
rnacentral:rRNA from 1 species